ACUGAGAUCGAUUGGUGCAUAGAUAUCAGGAGAACCCACUCAAUUUAACUCUAGCACCAUUCGAAAUCAGUGCU
rnacentral:pre_miRNA from 1 species